GUUUGGCAGCAACUAAUCUUGACGUGUGAACAAGUUGGUCAUGGCGUCACGUGCACAUAGACCCGCAGCUCUCGUUUCCAUGACUGGUGGUCGUUGCCGCGGUCUCGGAUGACGGUGAUUCACCACCUUGCUUCCAGCGCCGAUGAGACAAUGGGGUUAUCACCCCGUAAUCUCAGCGCCGGUCUCCCACGACUGCCUCCUCGGCUACCACUACUUAGGAGAGAAGAAAAUAAAAUACUCUGGAAAACAAUGACUUUCAUAGUGCAUUUUUGUCCAUAUGACCUGAUUGGCUUUCUUUUUUCUUCAACACCCUUAUGUUGCUUUGUGUUCCCAUGGCCAUCACGCCGAUGCAAUUUCUAGGAUUUGGUUUGUGGUUGGUCAUCUAAUCAUGGCUUCCUCUACUACGUAUCUAAGAGUGGAUAUGAUGCUUGUGCUCAGUUUGUGUAGAGGCUGAGUGCGUGUCCGUUUUGGUGUUCCGAUGGUUACUAUGCUUCUCCCGGAUAAUGUGAGUUGCUGAUAUAAAAUGCUCAGUGGUGAAAGUAACUGUUAAUAA